GCCAGAAUGGCGGAAAGAUUACGCAGUGGACUGCAGACUCAUUCUAUCCUGGUUCGAUUCCAGGCUCUGGCU
rnacentral:tRNA from 1 species